UUAUGGCCAUAUCACACUGAAACACCGGUUCUCAUAUGAUCACUGAAGUUAUGCAAGGUAGAGUCUGGUCAGCACCUACGUGGGUGACCAUUUCAGAAUACCAGUUGCUGUAAG